CGGCGAAAUCGGAUUGACUACGCCAUGCGAGUCAUUGUAGUAAUACAAGGCAGACGGCUCAGUAACGCGUAGUCAAUCUAACCUAUGGACGGGAAUAACCUCGGGAAACUGAGUAUAAUGCCCGAUAGAACAUUAUGCCUGGAAUGGUUUAUGUUCCAAAUGAUUUAUCGCCGUAGGAUGGGACUGCGGCCUAUCAGUUUGUUGGUGAGGUAAUGGCCCACCAAGACUAUUACAGGUACGGGCUCUGAGAGGAGUAGCCCGGAGAUGGGUACUGAGACACGGACCCAGGCCCUAUGGGGCGCAGCAGGCGAGAAAACUUUGCAAUGUGCGAAAGCACGACAAGGUUAAUCUGAGUGGUUUCUGCUAAAGGAACCUUUUGUCGGUCCUAGAAACACCGAUGAAUAAGGGGUGGGCAAGUUCUGGUGUCAGCCGCCGCGGUAAAACCAGCACCUCAAGUGGUCAGGAUGAUUAUUGGGCCUAAAGCAUCCGUAGCCGGCUCUGUAAGUUUUCGGUUAAAUCUGUACGCUCAACGUACAGGCUGCCGGGAAUACUGCAGAGCUAGGGAGUGGGAAAGGUAGACGGUACUCGGUAGGAAGGGGUAAAAUCCUUUGAUCUAUUGAUGACCACCUGUGGCGAAGGCGGUCUACCAGAACACGUCCGACGGUGAGGGAUGAAAGCUGGGGGAGCAAACCGGAUUAGAUACCCGGGUAGUCCCAGCUGUAAACUAUGCAAACUCAGUGAUGCAUUGGCUUGUGGCCAAUGCAGUGCUGCAAGGAAGCCGUUAAGUUUGCCGCCUGGGAAGUACGUACGCAAGUAUGAAACUCAAAGGAAUUGACGGAAU
rnacentral:rRNA from 1 species